rnacentral:rRNA from 1 species
CUCCUACGGGAGGCAGCAGUGGGGAAUAUUGGGCAAUGGGCGCAAGCCUGACCCAGCAACGCCGCGUGAAGGAAGAAGGCUUUCGGGUUGUAAACUUCUUUUAUUGAGGACGAAACAAAUGACGGUACUCAAUGAAUAAGCCACGGCUAACUACGUGCCAGCAGCCGCGGUAAUACGUAGGUGGCAAGCGUUAUCCGGAUUUACUGGGUGUAAAGGGCGUGUAGGCGGGACUGCAAGUCAGAUGUGAAAACCACGGGCUCAACCUGUGGCCUGCAUUUGAAACUGUAGUUCUUGAGUACUGGAGG